CGCACACCCAGCAAUGUAUGACUGCAUCCGGUGACCGGAUAUAGAACAUACAUACUAGGCGACCCCAGACAGCCGCCCUCUGACAAUCCAUGGACCCAAGACUCCUGCAGCUGCCCCUGAGAAGCAACCAGAAGACAUCAAAGGCCGGAUUCCCAAGGGUCUUCCAAAGCCUUACAACAGACUACAGAGUUGAAGUGCUGGAAGACGGAGUGUUACCCCUAAUCUUAUUACACCCCCCCCAGACUAAUCCCCAAGCUGGGAGUCCUACCACCCGGGUCCUCCCUCCCACAACUCUGUCUUACCGACCCUAUAAAUCGUAAUAAAUAUCUGUGUUACAGCAGGGAGGCAUAUCUCGCACCCCUGCAUAAGUUAGAAUAAAUAUUACAUACACCCCUCCUUCACCUAGGAGGAUAUACAUAAAUACAUAAAUAUUAAUUAGACACGGAGAAAGUCUCUGUCCGUCCCCAGUGGGCCUAGCCAGGACCCGCGGUGUCUCUUGGCGGUAGUGUUCUGAGUUAGCGUUGCCUUAGAAAUCCCAGUUUGGGAUACGUUCUCUCGCACCAGGUACCCAUCCAUGGUGCCUUUGUUUCUUCGGACUGUGACCCAUCGCGUUUAGAAGGCCGCCGGAUGUUGCUGGAGAAAAGCUUUAAGAUCCAGCGCAUAGUCCGAGGACUCCGAGGUCAGGUUCAAAGGCUCGAGGACCGGGGGCGCAGUAAUGGGCGCAGAAAUGGGCUCAGGUGUCACGGCGCUGGUAGCAUCCUCCGGAGCCAGGGGCUGCGACACACCCUCUUCAGCCAUCAAAAUCUGGCAGAAGAUGAUGGCGAACAGGAGAAAGAGGACCCUCUUGGCAAUGUUGGGUUCCUCGGUUGGUAGCUGGCGCCGGA
rnacentral:lncRNA from 1 species